GAGGAAUAUUGGUCAAUGGACGGAAGUCUGAACCAGCCAUGCCGCGUGAAGGAAGACUGCCCUAUGGGUUGUAAACUUCUUUUAUACGGGGAUAAACCUAUCUUUGCGAAGAUAGCUGAAGGUACCGUAUGAAUAAGCAUCGGCUAACUCCGUGCCAGCAGCCGCGGUAAUACGGAGGAUGCGAGCGUUAUCCGGAUUUAUUGGGUUUAAAGGGUGCGUAGGCGGACAAAUAAGUCAGUGGUGAAAUCACUCAGCUUAACUGAGUAACUGCCAUUGAUACUGUUAGUCUAGAAUGUAAAUGGAGUAGGCGGAAUGGAUCAUGUAGAGGUGACAUUCAUAGAUAUGAUUCAGAACACCGAUCGCGAAGGCAGCUUGCUAAGAUACAAGUGACGCUGAUGCACGAAAGCGUGGGUAGCAAAC
rnacentral:rRNA from 1 species